AGCGAACGCUGGCGGCAGGCUUAACACAUGCAAGUCGAGCGGGCACUUCGGUGUCAGCGGCAGACGGGUGAGUAACACGUGGGAACGUGCCCUUUGGUUCGGAAUAACGCUGGGAAACUAGCGCUAAUACCGGAUACGCCCUUUUGGGGAAAGGCUUGCUGCCGAAGGAUCGGCCCGCGUCUGAUUAGCUAGUUGGUGGGGUAAUGGCCUACCAAGGCGACGAUCAGUAGCUGGUCUGAGAGGAUGAUCAGCCACACUGGGACUGAGACAUGGCCCAGACUCCUACGGGAGGCAGCAGUGGGGAAUAUUGGACAAUGGGCGCAAGCCUGAUCCAGCCAUGCCGCGUGAGUGAUGAAGGCCUUAGGGUUGUAAAGCUCUUUUGUCCGGGACGAUAAUGACGGUACCGGAAGAAUAAGCCCCGGCUAACUUCGUG
rnacentral:rRNA from 1 species